CAGAUUUGGGGAAGGGAGGAGAAGCUCUCAAACCCUCACCAUCUUUGAUCCACCGUAUCUUCCUCGUUUGAGCUCCGAUUGACGAGCCGUUUGCGGCCACGCGUUCGUCUCGGACUCCUCUUCAAUUUUAUCCGAACAAAGUGGUGCAAACUAAAAUUGGAUAAUUGUUGGGUUGCACUCCAAUCAUCAAUGGGUACGGUAAGAACAACCUAAACCCUAGCUAAUUUUUGAUUUAUUGAUGAAAAAUCUGAAUUUGGAUAUAUAUGUGAAUUGGGGGUGAAUUGAGUUAUAUAUACAUGCAUUGGGUUUGAAUUGGGAUUACUUGGAGGUUUGUUGGCGACCAAGGCUUGUUUUGGGGAUGUUUGAUUGAGCAUGGAGGGGCUGUAAUUUUGAGUUGUGAGACUGCCUUGGGUGAACUAAGCGAUCGGCUAAGAUGCAGGUCAAGAGGCUCCUCGCUAGGCGUCUGGAUCCUGGGAAGUGAAGUAGUCUAUUGGUGUAUUUUGGUUUCCUGUUGUAUAUAUGUAUAUAUGUAUUUAGCUUACUCUCCAAGUAACUUAUGUAUGCUGCUCCUCUUAGAGGUUGAGGGAGAGAUAGGAGUUUAUUUUGGUAUUUUGGGAUAUUUUGGGGAUACCUGUGUAUGUUCAUAUGUAUAUAUAUAGUCAGCCUUAGUUUCGCAGGCUGAGUUAGGGGCUAGUUAUGCUGUUUCCUUGGCUUUCCUUUACUCUUUUGCUUAUCUUUAUCAUGUUCCUAUUAGAUUUCUUAGCACGUAAGUAAUCCUUACCUGAGCGUUGCGUUUUUUAUUUUGCGAUUUUGUUUUAUCC